rnacentral:rRNA from 1 species
UGCAAGUCGAGCGCGGGAAGCUUGUCUGAUCCCUUCGGGGUGACGCGAGUGGAACGAGCGGCGGACGGGUGAGUAACACGUGGGCAACCUGCCUGUAAGACUGGGAUAACUCCGGGAAACCGGGGCUAAUACCGGAUAAUACAUUGCUUCGCAUGAAGCAAUGUUGAAAGAUGGCUUUUAGCUAUCACUUACAGAUGGGCCCGCGGCGCAUUAGCUAGUUGGUAAGGUAAUGGCUUACCAAGGCAACGAUGCGUAGCCGACCUGAGAGGGUGAUCGGCCACACUGGGACUGAGACACGGCCCAGACUCCUACGGGAGGCAGCAGUAGGGAAUCUUCCGCAAUGGACGAAAGUCUGACGGAGCAACGCCGCGUGAACGAAGAAGGUUUUCGGAUCGUAAAGUUCUGUUGUUAGGGAAGAACAAGUACCGUUCAAAUAGGGCGGUACCUUGACGGUACCUAUCGAGGAAGCCCCGGCUAACUACGUGCCAGCAGCCGCGGUAAUACGUAGGGGGCAAGCGUUGUCCGGAAUUAUUGGGCGUAAAGCGCGCGUAGGCGGUUUCUUAAGUCUGAUGUGAAAUCUUGCGGCUCAACCGCAAGCGGCCAUUGGAAACUGAGGAACUUGAGUGCAGAAGAGGAGAGCGGAAUUCCACGUGUAGCGGUGAAAUGCGUAGAUAUGUGGAGGAACACCAGUGGCGAAGGCGGCUCUCUGGUCUGUAACUGACGCUGAGGUGCGAAAGCGUGGGGAGCGAACAGGAUUAGAUACCCUGGUAGUCCACGCCGUAAACGAUGAGUGCUAGGUGUUAGGGGGUUUCCGCCCCUUAGUGCUGCAG